CACCGCGGUUAUACGAGAGGCCCAAGUUGAUAAAUACGGCGUAAAGAGUGGUUAUGGGUAAAAAUUAAAUAAAGUCAAACAACCUUAUAGCUGUUAUACGCACUAUAAGAGCAUUGAAGCCCCCCCACGAAAGUAACUUUAAUAAAUCCUGACCCCACGAAAGCUAAGAAA
rnacentral:rRNA from 1 species